rnacentral:lncRNA from 1 species
AUUCCUGUGCAAUGUGUGGGAGAAGGUGGACUUUAUCUGGUACUAUGAGGAUGUUGUCACCAAGAGGCCUGUUCACUGGGUCUUCUACACCGGUAACUACUACCGACUAGUUUUAUGAUCGAUUUCAUUCUGCAAUUAAAUUAACUGUUUCACCUGUUGUUAAUAAUUUGUUCCUCAUAAUCUAUCCAUCAAAUUGGGUUGAUAAAUGUAACAAAAUUACUCAUACCGUAGGGAGGGAGGCGCAUGUGAUGACAUUUGAAGUAGGAGCAGCUCUUGAGGACGCUAAGUGGCAAGCCCCCGUUUACUGCUUUGACAAGAACGAUUCUCUCACCAGUAUUCCCGUGGAAACAAUGGUGGAUGGAG